rnacentral:rRNA from 1 species
UACGUAGGGUGCGAGCGUUGUCCGGAAUUAUUGGGCGUAAAGAGCUUGUAGGCGGUUUGUCGCGUCUGCUGUGAAAACUCGAGGCUCAACCUCGGGCUUGCAGUGGGUACGGGCAGACUAGAGUGUUGCAGGGAGACUGGAAUUCCUGGUGUAGCGGUGAAAUGACGCAGAUAUCAGGAGGAACACCGGUGGCGGAAGGCGGGUCUCUGGGCAACAACUGACGCUGGAGGAGCGAAAGCGUGGGGAGCGAACAGG